AGAAGGAUCAUUGACACAAUUUACAACAUAUUUUAACACCUGUAUGAACCUCUAUUUAAUUUACAACAAAAUAUAUUUACAACUACUCUUAUAUUAAAUUACAUUGUAAUUUACAACAUAAAAAAACAAAAUAGUUACAACAGUUAACAACGGAUAUCUAGGCUCUUACAACGAUGAAGAACGUAGCAAAAUGCGAUAAGUAAUGUGAAUUGCAGAUUUCAGUGAAUCAUCUAAUUUUUGAACGCAACUUGCGCCUUUUGUUAAUAGCGAAAGGCACACUUGUUUGAGUGUCGGUAAUUAUAUUAUCCACAAAAAUAUUAAUUUGAGUUCCAAUAACUACUAUGGUUAUCGUUACUUUAACAAUAUUUCAAAUGGUAAUUAUUUUACAUAUUUUAUUUUUCUAAGUUUUAUACUGUCGAAUAAUAAUCUAAAGUAAUUAAAAUACCAUUUAAUUUAUUCAUCACUCUCGACCUCAAAUCAAGUGAGAACACCGGCUGAACUUAAGCAUAUCACUAAGCCGAGGAAAAGAAACUAACAAGGAUACCCUUAGUAACGGCGAGUGAAGCGGGUAUAGCUCAAUCUUAAAAUCUGUGUUCUAUAAAUGGAAUACCGAAUUGUAGUUUUUAGAUAAUUUUUCCCACUUUUUUAGUUAUUAUUAAAGUCUCUUGGAAUAGAGUGUCAUAGAAGGUGAGAACCCUGUGAAUAGUAAUAAUUGAAAGAGGAAUAUGUGUUUAAUUAUCAUAGAGUCGGGUUGUUUGGGAAUGCAGCCUAAAAUGGGUGGUAAAUCUCAUCUAAAGCUAAAUAUAUGGUAAGAGACCGAUAGCAAACAAGUACCGUGAGGGAAAGAUGAAAAGAACUUUGAAAAGAGAGUUAAAAGUACUUGAAAUUGUUAACUGGGAACCGCUUAAAUUCUAAUCUUUUAAUUACUAUAAAUCAGUUUAUUUAAAUUGAAGCUUUAUUAUGCUGAGGUAAUUACGGUUAUUCUGCAUGAAAAAGUAACAGUAAGAAUGAAUGCACUUUAUAGUAGUUAUAAUCAACAUGAAUUUCAAUUAUGUUAGAAAAUAUUGAGAAAGGUAGUAUUAUUACUCUCGGGUAAUAGUAUGUUAUAGUCUAAGUAUGAAUAGCAUAGUUGAGAUUGAGGAAUUAAUGUACUCCUCAAUGGAUUGUGAACUUGGGUUAUUUACAGGCUUCAACUGUGGACUGUAACAGUGCAUGGGGAAAAGUUUGGAAAAGAGCUCAAUAGCAAAGGUACAUUAGAGAUGUUGAUCUUAUUAUUAAGAAGAAGGAUUUAAUCGACCCGUCUUGAAACACGGACCAAGGAGUCUAACAUGUAUGCAAGUAAACUGAGUUUAGAAACUCAUCAUGCAAAAUGAAAGUAAAAUUAUGGUAGGAAAGGUUCUACAAUAGGACCUAGCACUAUCAACCGACUUGGAUGGGGGCAACCCCUGAAAGGAUUGAGUAAGAGCAUUUAUGUUAGGACCCGAAAGAUGGUGAACUAUGCCUGAGUAGGGCAAAGUCAGAGGAAACUCUGAUGGAGGCUCGUAGGGGUUCUGACGUGCAAAUCGAUCUUCAAACUUGGGUAUAGGGGCGAAAGACUAAUCGAACCAUCUAGUAGCUGGUUCCCUC
rnacentral:misc_RNA from 1 species